rnacentral:rRNA from 1 species
GACGAACCGUGCGAACGUUAUUCGGAAUCACUGGGCUUAAAGAGCGCGCAGGCGGUCGUUCAAGUCGAGUGUGAAAGCCCCCGGCUCAACUGGGGAGGGUCAUUCGAUACUGAUCGACUCGAAGGCAGGAGAGGGAAGUGGAAUUCCCGGUGUAGUGGUGAAAUGCGUAGAUAUCGGGAGGAACACCAGUGGCGAAGGCGACUUCCUGGCCUGUUCUUGACGCUGAGGCGCGAAAGCUAGGGGAGCAAACGGG